CGGUCGUCUUGCCCGUCAUCGCCCUAAGCGGCCACCAUGGAUCCCCUCACGCUGGUGGUGCCCAAUACAGGGGCGAUGAAUACGUUCAAGGAGGAUCUCUAACUGGAGAUGCAGAUGGGAGAAAAUGAGUUGGUGGACGAGGGAGAGGAAGAGGAGGAUAUGGAGCCGGUGCUUCCUCCUUCUGUUAUUUCCUCUUCCUUCAAUCCUGCAAUUGGUAGUUCAAGUGUGAGCGUACGUCCCUGCAACUCUCUGUGAUGUUGAUGCAAAGAUCAGGCUGGGUGAACGUUUGGUUAUUGAUGAUUCUACUGGUGGCAUCUCUGUUGGAGGGCUAAUACUGAUUACAGUCCUUUUACAGUUUUACGUCCCGUCCUUUAUUUAUUUGCGAUGGGAAGCUCUUCCUGGACUCUGUCAGAUCGUCUUGCUGGUAUGGGCUUUCCGUUUUAGAUGGAGCAUACAUUUCAGAAAAUGGUUUCUACCUGAAGUGGGAACCGUGUGUGCACAACCAGGUGGAGGGGUCAGUCCAAUAGCUCACUGCCUUUGGAUCAGAGUAUAGAACGAUGGUCACUGUCAAAACUUCAGAAUCAAGUAGUACCACCUUCAAAGAAAAAGUUAAGAAUCAUGAGGUCACUUCAAGAGAAGUUCAGUAAGAAAUCUCAGCAAAGACUCGCCUACUGGAACUAGGAGAUUCCAAGAUCAGCCAAGUUUCUAAAUGAAUAAUAAAAGUAGGAAAAUAUAGGUUGCUUGCAUUUAUGUGGGUACGCUGACCUUACACAUGUCAAUUGCUAGAAUUGGAGCAUCUUAAGAUGGUCCUUGGUUUUGUUUGAGCUUAUUUAAAUUGUUUAUGCAGUCUCCUUUGUAUGGGUUAUCAAAGUGUAGAAAAGAGUAUGUUAAAGCCAAGAAAUGAAGAUCUGCUACUUGAGUGAUGAUAAAAGACUUAAAAGUUGAAUAAUGACCUGAGGAGGAAACAACUCAAUGUACACUUCCAUUUUUCAUUAACCAAGUUUGCCACAUAGUUUUACUGUAAGAUCCAAUAGGACCUCUUGCAGCUACUAUUUUGCAUCUGUUUCCGUUGACAUAUAUUCAGCAUCCCAUAAAUUCGUGUUAAUUCCUUGACCGGUGUUUCAGAUAUUUGCCUUCAAAUUACAGAAUAUUGCAGUGGAGAAAUAUUGCGAACAAACUGUGGGUGGGCGAUGGCUCCACCUUAUGCAUUUCUGUCACAUUUUAUGUGGCAGAUUUGAUUAGCAUUAUGUUUCUCCAAAAUCUGGAGUUAACAAUACAACAGAUAAGAAAACAGGGGAUGACAUACAUAUUGGACAGAGACACGCACUUUGAAUGGUCGUCAUAUUCUGGGAAGCCAGUGCAAUAUUCUUUUUUUUAUAUUUGGAGAAUUGGUUUCAUACUAAUGUAUGCAACCAGGUAGAUGGAAGAAAUCGAUCAAUGUCUGAGUUUUGAUUUUUUGUCUCAGAAAAUUCGUUUUCACUGUCAGAAUCAGCUGAGUUGUUCCUUCCAAAAUGGUAUCAUUGGAAUCAGGCCCAGAGGCAUUCCUGUGAAAAUACAUAGCUGAGGGCUUCUGAUUCUAAUUGAACAUGCCAUCUUGCUAUCCAAUCUCCAGGCCACACAACAAUACAUUGAAUCCUCUUCUAGGAAAAUACGUUGGCUUCUCUUCCAAGAAAAUGUAAGAAGAAAUCCAGCAACGAGAUGGACUUUCUGCGCCAGGACUAGAUACUCUAGCCAUCAUGCCUGGGUUCUUCACGCCGUGCCAAUUGAAGAAGCUUCGACUGAUGUUGGUGAAGGGGGAUUGCUAGCCAUGAUCAUCACAAGGUUUUUAACACAAUCUUCUAAUGUACGACAACUAAACCAUUGUAUGAUGCAGUGUAAAUCAGGGUCUUUCGUAAAAUCAAGCUUUUAUGGUCAAA